AAGACUAAAAAGGAUUUUGGCAGUCCAUACAAUGGGGGAAGCCAAACAAUGUCACAGAAGAGGUAUCAGUGGAAACAGAAGCCAACUCCAAAGAAGAUUGAGUUAGAUCUCAAAUUCCUGGACAGCCCAGCCGCAUCCGGUAUCACAAAGCCUUCUGCUUUGUUCCCCCUCUGACAUAUCUCUGGAAUCCACCCCAUCUUCUCCCAGAUUCACGGCACACUGCUGGGCGGGUCCCCACCUGUUCCCUAUCCCCUCCAACACCUGGACCACCUGUAGCAGCCUCUCAGCUGACACCCACUCUGCAAAUGAAAUGAGCCACAGGAGGAACAGCUAAUGUCAACAAACUGCCAUCAAAAUAUGCGCAUGCCACAAACCAACUGAUGGGAGAAGCAUCUUUACCGAAACUAUCCAUCCUUCCUUCUCAUUAAUAGUUCAAAUCAUACACAAGAAAGCAACCUUGUCCUUCACUGCAUUUCCUUCUCUGGGCGAUUUUGACAACGUUCCAAAUAUUCAAGAAUGAUGAUCUCCGUGAAACAGAUACUAAAGUAUGAGACCUUAACAGAAAGCACUUCUCUUAUUAGCAAUCAACUAACGUUUCAAAUGUGAAUUUAGAAAUAACACUGAAACAUCCUUUAAAUUGCCUGGGCAGGAGGACCAGCAUUCAUUAUAUACAUAAAUUCAUUAUAAAGAUACACUCAAAGAUUUACCUAAUAAAUCCCUGCUCCAAAACUGGGAGGAUAUUUUUCUAAAACUGCAAGUUUAAGUUUUCCAUAAAGAGCCACACACAAAGGAAUAGCUCAAUUAAAUUCCCAGCUCUUUUUAAAAACAUGAUUUGAUUAGCUUGGAAGCUACAUCUAAUUCUAAGAUGUGCCAGAGGCACAUACGUGGAAACAUAAUCAUAGCGUCAAGGCAGCUGAUAAAAUAAAUAAAGGCUAUGGAAGGCAAAAUAUUAUACUGAAUUAUUAUGCUACAAAUGUAACCAAAAGGUUGGUAUUUGAUAUGUCACAAUGAAUAUCCCUAAAAACAUUCAGAAUGUCCUCCAAAGACAAACUGGGUGAUGUGCAUUAAGGCAGAGCUUGCUGAUUACCCCCAGGAUCAAUCCUUCAAUUUCUAGGAAAGGGAAAAGAACCUCAAUUCUUUGCUAAACCAAAAGAACUACAUUGUCCACUUCCCUUCCACGUAAAUGUGGUCAUUUGGCCAAUGAGAGGCAGGCAGAAGUACUGUUAAGGUUUCUCCCGAUAAGCAUCUUUGACUUAUUUGUUCCCCCCCCCCCGCCCCGAGGUUUAUUGAGGUAUAAUUGACAUAAAAUUGAAAGAUAUUUAAAGUGUACUUCAUGGUGAUUUUAUAUAUGUAUACAUUGUAAAAGGAUUCCCCACAUGUAAUUAACACUUCCAUCACCUCACAAAUUUAUCUUUUUUAGGACAACAAUUAAGGUCUAUUCUUUAGUAAAUUUCAAUUAUAUAAUACAGUUAUCAGAAUGUUUACAUUAGAUCCCCAGACCUUAUGUAUUUUAUAGCUCAAAGUGUGUACUGUUUUACAAACCUCUCCCUAUUUCUUGUAUCCCCCUCAGCCCCCGACAACCACUUUUCUACUGUUUCUAUGAGUUUGACUUUUUUUUUUAGACUCCGCAUAUGUUACCAUGCAGUAUUUGUCUUUCUCUGUCUGGCUUAUCUCACUCAGCAUAAUACCCUCAAGGUCCAUCCAUGUUGCAAAUGGAAGGAUUUCCUUCUUUCUCAUGGUUGAUAAUAUU